UACGUUCCCGGACCUUGUACACACCGCCCGUCAAGCCAUGGAAGCCGGGAGUACCUGAAGACGGGUGACUUUACUGGGAGCUGUCUAAAGGUAAAACUGGUGACUGGGGCU
rnacentral:rRNA from 1 species